AUUGAACGCUGGCGGCAUGCUUUACACAUGCAAGUCGAACGGUAGAGGGGGCAACCCCCUCCGAGAGUGGCGAACGGGUGAGUAAUAUAUCGGAACGUGCCCAGUCGUGGGGGAUAACGUAGCGAAAGUUACGCUAAUACCGCAUACGAUCUACGGAUGAAAGCGGGGGAUCGCAAGACCUCGCGCGAUUGGAGCGGCCGAUAUCAGAUUAGGUAGUUGGUGGGGUAAAGGCUCACCAAGCCAACGAUCUGUAGCUGGUCUGAGAGGACGACCAGCCACACUGGAACUGAGACACGGUCCAGACUCCUACGGGAGGCAGCAGUGGGGGAAUUUUGGACAAUGGACGCAAGUCUGAUCCAGCCAUUCCGCGUGCAGGAUGAAGGCCCUCGGGUUGUAAACUGCUCUUGUACGGAACGAAAAGGUUUCCAUUAAUACUGGGAGCUCAUGACGGUACCGUAAGAAUAAGCACCGGCUAACUACGUGCCAGCAGCCG
rnacentral:rRNA from 1 species